CUCAGCGACUAAGGUCACGCGUCACCAGCGACUAAGGUCACGCGUCACCAGCGACUAAGGUCACGCGUCACCAGCGACUAAGGUCACGCGUCACACUCAGCUUGUGCGGUUGUCGCGCGUCACCAGCUUGUGCGGUUGUCGCGCGUCACCAGCGACUAGACAUGUCACGCGCCACGCGAGGUUACUAGCACACACGGCGCUAGUCGCGUGACGGUCGUCUCACCCGGCGGCGCGGGCGCGCUGCUCAGUAGCGCGGCGCGGUACAGGUUGGCGUCGGCGAUGCAGUGGUUGGCCAGCGCCAACAGCAGCAGACACGACUGGUUGCUGAGCGGGUGCUGCUGCUUGAGCCGGCCGCUGAGCGAGCUGCGGUCUAGCGGCGGGUGGGAGUAGAUGCUCUGCCACGCGAAGUGACUAAGGUCACGCGUCACACUCAGCGACUAAGGUCACGCGUCACCAGCGACUAAGGUCACGCGUCACACUCAGCGACUAAGGUCACGCGUCACCAGCGACUAAGGUCACGCGUCACCAGCGACUAAGGUCACGCGUCACCAGCGACUAAGGUCACGCGUCACACUCAGCUUGUGCGGUUGUCGCGCGUCACCAGCUUGUGCGGUUGUCGCGCGUCACCAGCGACUAGACAUGUCACGCGCCACGCGAGGUUACUAGCACACACGGCGCUAGUCGCGUGACGGUCGUCUCACCCGGCGGCGCGGGCGCGCUGCUCAGUAGCGCGGCGCGGUACAGGUUGGCGUCGGCGAUGCAGUGGUUGGCCAGCGCCAACAGCAGCAGACACGACUGGUUGCUGAGCGGGUGCUGCUGCUUGAGCCGGCCGCUGAGCGAGCUGCGGUCUAGCGGCGGGUGGGAGUAGAUGCUCUGCCACGCGAAGUGACUAAGGUCACGCGUCACACUCAGCGACUAAGGUCACGCGUCACCAGCGACUAAGGUCACGCGUCACCAGCGACUAAGGUCACGCGUCACACUCAGCUUGUGCGGUUGUCGCGCGUCACCAGCUUGUGCGGUUGUCGCGCGUCACCAGCGACUAGACAUGUCACGCGCCACGCGAGGUUACUAGCACACACGGCGCUAGUCGCGUGACGGUCGUCUCACCCGGCGGCGCGGGCGCGCUGCUCAGUAGCGCGGCGCGGUACAGGUUGGCGUCGGCGAUGCAGUGGUUGGCCAGCGCCAACAGCAGCAGACACGACUGGUUGCUGAGCGGGUGCUGCUGCUUGAGCCGGCCGCUGAGCGAGCUGCGGUCUAGCGGCGGGUGGGAGUAGAUGCUCUGCCACGCGAAGUGACUAAGGUCACGCGUCACACUCAGCGACUAAGGUCACGCGUCACCAGCGACUAAGGUCACGCGUCACACUCAGCGACUAAGGUCACGCGUCACACUCAGCGACUAAGGUCACGCGUCACCAGCGACUAAGGUCACGCGUCACCAGCGACUAAGGUCACGCGUCACACUCAGCGACUAAGGUCACGCGUCACCAGCGACUAAGGUCACGCGUCACCAGCGACUAAGGUCACGCGUCACCAGCGACUAAGGUCACGCGUCACACUCAGCUUGUGCGGUUGUCGCGCGUCACCAGCUUGUGCGGUUGUCGCGCGUCACCAGCGACUAGA